rnacentral:tRNA from 4 species
GGGCCGUUAGCUCAGCGGUAGAGCAGUGGACUUUUAAUCCAUUGGUCGAAGGUUCAAAUCCUUCACGGCCCACCA